UUCUUAUCUAGAGAAGCAGAGGGACUGGCCCUAUGAAGCUUCAGCAACCACCGGAUUAUUUCUGGAAAGGUGCUAAUUCCAGCAAGUUGAAUUCAACUUGAACGAUAAGAA
rnacentral:ncRNA from 2 species